rnacentral:rRNA from 1 species
UGAGGAAUACAUCGGAAUCUACUCUGUCGUGGGGGGAGUAACGUAGGGAAACUUACGCUAAUACCGCAUACGACCUACGGGUGAAAGCAGGGGAUCUUCGGACCUUGCGCGAUUGAAUGAGCCGAUGUCGGAUUAGCUAGUUGGCGGGGUAAAGGCCCACCAAGGCGACGAUCCGUAGCUGGUCUGAGAGGAUGAUCAGCCACACUGGAACUGAGACACGGUCCAGACUCCUACGGGAGGCAGCAGUC